GAGGUUGUGGCUCAGUGGUAAAGUGUUUGCCUAGUAUGCAUAAGGCACCAGGUUCGAUCCUCAGCAUCA
rnacentral:tRNA from 1 species